rnacentral:rRNA from 1 species
GAUGAACGCUAGCGGCAGGCCUAACACAUGCAAGUCGAACGGGGAAACAUUUUAUUGAAGCUUCGGCAGAUUUAGUUUGUUUCUAGUGGCGGACGGGUGAGUAACGCGUGGGGUAACCUGCCUCACACUGGGGGGAUAACAGUCAGGAAAUGACUGCUAAUACCGCAUAAGCGCACGGAACCGCAUGGUUUUGUGUGAAAAACUCCGGUGGUGUGAGAUGGACCCG